rnacentral:rRNA from 1 species
GGGGCGGCGUGCUAUAAUGCAAGUCGAGCGGACAGAUGGGAGCUUGCUCCCUGAUGUUAGCGGCGGACGGGUGAGUAACACGUGGGUAACCUGCCUGUAAGACUGGGAUAACUCCGGGAAACCGGGGCUAAUACCGGAUGGUUGUUUGAACCGCAUGGUUCAAACAUAAAAGGUGGCUUCGGCUACCACUUACAGAUGGACCCGCGGCGCAUUAGCUAGUUGGUGAGGUAACGGCUCACCAAGGCAACGAUGCGUAGCCGACCUGAGAGGGUGAUCGGCCACACUGGGACUGAGACACGGCCCAGACUCCUACGGGAGGCAGCAGUAGGGAAUCUUCCGCAAUGGACGAAAGUCUGACGGAGCAACGCCGCGUGAGUGAUGAAGGUUUUCGGAUCGUAAAGCUCUGUUGUUAGGGAAGAACAAGUACCGUUCGAAUAGGGCGGUACCUUGACGGUACCUAACCAGAAAGCCACGGCUAACUACGUGCCAGCAGCCGCGGUAAUACGUAGGUGGCAAGCGUUGUCCGGAAUUAUUGGGCGUAAAGGGCUCGCAGGCGGUUUCUUAAGUCUGAUGUGAAAGCCCCCGGCUCAACCGGGGAGGGUCAUUGGAAACUGGGGAACUUGAGUGCAGAAGAGGAGAGUGGAAUUCCACGUGUAGCGGUGAAAUGCGUAGAGAUGUGGAGGAACACCAGUGGCGAAGGCGACUCUCUGGUCUGUAACUGACGCUGAGGAGCGAAAGCGUGGGGAGCGAACAGGAUUAGAUACCCUGGUAGUCCACGCCGUAAACGAUGAGUGCUAAGU